CAGUUCAAACCACAUUUGAAAAAUAAAACAUGUGGCUCGUUGAUCAAGUGUUCUGCCUUGCAAUAACAUAACAAAACAAAAACAGCAAAAUGCUGAGACAGGUUUUGAUUAACAAAAUAAUCAGUGCUAUUUAGUACCAUAAUGGUAUUUACUAACAAUAUUAUUACUAUAAACAGUUUCUAAAAUAAUUCGGGUUAAGGUUAAUGCUAAAAUAGGUAAUACAUAGUGUUAGAUGAUGAUGUAAAAAGGUCUUUAUAAAUACAUUUGAUUGAUUGUUAGGUUCAGGGAUUUUAAGGUAAAAAACAUUAUGGGUUUAUAGGUCUCUUGCUCCUCCCUGUGGCCUUCUGUGUGUACUACAUAUUUCAUUCACGACACCUGCUAGGCUCAUAAUCUGAAAUAGCAACUGCGUCAGAUCUACAAAUCAAUGAGCUGGACCUGUCCAUUUGUUUUCUAACUCAGUGAAACUGCGCAGCUUUCACUCAAUCCGAUGUCUACGAACGAACAUUUCGAUGCUUAUCAAAUUACCCAGCAGCCAUUUAGAAACAACAAGUAGUCAAAACAAGUGUUAUUUCUUAAUUAAAAAAUGUCUUCUGGCUGUUUAAAUCGGCCUCAUCUUGAAAAAGAGGACAGGUUUUGUUUAGGUUGUAUACCUUUUUCUGAAAACAAAUAUGCUUAACCAUGACCAGAAAAUGUUUAAGGUUUAGCACUGUGGGUCACCAUAUUAAAUUAAAGCUAUGCAUGAGGUCUCUAGUCCCACCUCGUGAGCUAGUAGAUAAGAGUUAACAGCAGGUGUCCUAAGUAGUUAAGAGUUAACAGCAGCUGUCCUAAGUAGUUAAGAGUUAACAGCAGGUGUCCUAAGUAGUUAAGAGUUAACAGCAGCUGUCCUAAGUAGUUAAGAGUUAACAGCAGGUGUCCUAAGUAGUUAAGAGUUAACAGCAGGUGUCCUAAGUAGUUAAGAGUUAACAGCAGGUGUCCUAAGUAGUUAAGAGUUAACAGCAGCUGUCCUAAGUAGUUAAGAGUUAACAGCAGGUGUCCUAAGUAGUUAAGAGUUAACAGCAGGUGUCCUAAGUAGUUAAGAGUUAACAGCAGCUGUCCUAAGUAGUUAAGAGUUAACAGCAGGUGUCCUAAGUAGUUAAGAGUUAACAGCAGGUGUCCUAAGUAGUUAAGAGUUAACAGCAGGUGUCCUAAGUAGUUAAGAGUUAACAGCAGGUGUCCUAAGUAGUUAAGAGUUAACAGCAGGUGUCCUAAGUAGUUAAGA